GAUUUCAGAGGUGUGUUCCUCACAUCUGGCUCUGUGCCUUUUUUAGCCCUAGUACUCUCCAUCCUAAUCCUAGCAAUCAUCCCAACCCUACACACCUCCAAACAACAAGGAAUAAUGUUUCGACCACUAAGCCAAUGCUUAUUCUGACUCCUAGUAGCAGACCUCCUAACCCUAACAUGAAUUGG